AGUCACACCGGUUCCCGUUCGAUCGCCGAAGUUAAGCAGUGUUGAACUUGGUCAGUACUUCGAUGGGGGACCACUUGGG